CAUGAGGUUGCAUUCCUAUAACAAAUGGCGAAUGUAUAUAGAUCACAGGGUUUUACUCCGUCGAUAUGCCUAAAACAUCUUCGUUUAUCACGCGAUUCUUCAGGGUUUUUUUUUUAUUCUUGGUUUGUGUGUUCAAAAUGGUUUAACGAGUUCUGAACUUCUAUAAACUACUGUUUCAUUUUUAGGUAUCGGGUUGAUACAGUCGUUGUCGCACGGUUAGUUCCAUUUCUGGCGUCGGGAAGAUACCGCAACUGGUGGACUAUUAGUUCUGGCACUGGGGUGAUACCUCAGGUAUUUCCAUUAUCUUCCACGGGGAUGAUACCUCUACAGUGGACGGUUAUUCCUUGAGUGAAUCAUCAGCUUAGUCAGUGUGUCGGUUUGUUAGGAGAGUCUGUAUGCAGUACGAGCGACUGGAUAUAAAAAUUGAACAUGUUACUUCACUUUUUUAAGCAAAAUCU
rnacentral:lncRNA from 1 species